UACGUAGGGUGCGAGCGUUGUCCGGAAUUACUGGGCGUAAAGAGCUCGUAGGUGGUUUGUCGCGUUGUUCGUGAAAUCUCACGGCUUAACUGUGAGCGUGCGGGCGAUACGGGCAGACUGGAGUACUGCAGGGGAGACUGGAAUUCCUGGUGUAGCGGUGGAAUGCGCAGAUAUCAGGAGGAACACCGGUGGCGAAGGCGGGUCUCUGGGCAGUAACUGACGCUGAGGAGCAAAAGCGUGGGGAGCGAACAGG
rnacentral:rRNA from 1 species